CGGGCCUUGUACACACCGCCCGUCACACCAUGGGAGCCGGUAAUACCCGAAGUCAGUAGUCCAACCACGUGAGGACGCUGCCGAAGGUAGGAUUGGCGACUGGGGUGAAGUCGUAACAAGGUAGC
rnacentral:rRNA from 1 species